ensembl:lincRNA
NNNNNNNNNNNNNAGUGGAUGCAUUUCCCAAACCUUCAGUUGGUUUCUUCACACUGAUGUUCCUCUUGAGGCAGUGAAGACAAGACACUGAAUACCCAAUACUCCUAGUUGACUGGAGAGCAAAGGGGGAACACGAUGCGAAAUGGUAGAACCUCCCUGGAAGAUAUCUUUUAGGUUUCCCACAAAACUGGACAGUAUAACCCUAUGAUAGACAAACUGGUAGUGACACUUCUUCAUGUUUAUGUAAUGAAGAUGAAAUCCACUCAGCAAAUAAUCGAACCUUGAUUAUUUCUAACAAUUUUAUUAAUAAUGGCAAAAGUCUUAGAGUCUAAGAUGCACUUUUGUAAGGAAUAAACAAUUGUGGAAUAGGUGAACAAUCAAGCAUUUAUGAGCUAAAAGAAACAAGUCAUGAAUCAAGUAGCAACGUAGAAUAACCUUAAUUGCAUAUAAGAUAAUGAUAUGAAAGUGUAGAAAC